CCCUUAGAUGUUCUGGGCCGCACGCGCGCUACACUGAUGCAUUCAACGAGCCUAUCCUUGACCGACAGGUCCGGGUAAUCUUUGAAUCUGCAUCGUGACGGGGAUAGAUUAUUGCAAUUAUUAAUCUUCAACGAGGAAUGCCUAGUAGGCGCAAGUCAUCAGCUUGCGUCGAUUACGUCCCUGCCCUUUGUACACACCGCCCGUCGCUCCUCCCGAUUGGGUGUGCUGGUGAAAUGUUCGGAUCGGCCGUUUGUCGCGGUUUCCGCGUCAUGUGGCUGAGAAGUUCAUUAAACCCUCCCACCUAGAGGAAGGAGAAGUCGUAACA
rnacentral:rRNA from 1 species